UGCCAGCCGCCGCGGUAAUACGAAGGGUGCGAGCGUUAAUCGGAAUUACUGGGCGUAAAGCGCGCGUAGGCGGUUAAUUAAGUCAGAUGUGAAAUCCCAGGGCUCAACCUUGGAACUGCAUUUGAAACUGGUUAACUAGAGUUUUGUAGAGGGUGGUAGAAUUUCAGGUGUAGCGGUGAAAUGCGUAGAGAUCUGAAGGAGUACCAGUGGCGAAGGCGGCUCUCUGGCUCGUCACUGACGCUGAGGUGCGAAAGCGUGGGUAGCAAACAGGAUUAGAUA
rnacentral:rRNA from 1 species